rnacentral:sRNA from 1 species
AGAGGGUGGGGGAGUGUGGCUGAGACACUAGCCCGGCCUUGGACAUCUGAAUGGGGCGGUCUGAAUCACCAACUUCUGUACCAGGGGCCACCAAGGACAUGGGGAAGAUGCUCGGGGGUGACGAGGAGAAGGACCCAGACGCCGCCAAGAAGGAGGAGGAGCGGCAGGAGGCGCUGCGCCAGGCGGAGGAGGAGCGCAAGGCCAAGUACGCCAAGAUGGAGGCGGAGCGCGAGGCCAUGCGCCAGGGCAUCCGAGACAAGUACGGCAUCAAGAAGAAGGAGGAGCGCGAGGCCGAGGCCCAGGCCGCCAUGGAGGCCAACUCCGAGGGGAGCUUGACGCGGCCCAAGAAGGCCAUCCCGCCGGGCUGCGGGGACGAGGUGGAGGAGGAGGACGAGAGCAUCCUGGACACCGUCAUCAAGUACCUGCCCGGGCCGCUGCAGGACAUGCUCAAGAAGUAGCCCCGCGCGGGACAGCGGCCCCGCGGAGCCCCCGCCCCUCCCCCUACAGAUCCUCCGCGGAGGCCCCUGAGGGACGAGCAGAGCGCAGCCCCCACGCCGAUAUAAGCCAUA